rnacentral:tRNA from 1 species
UCCGCGGUAGCUCAGUGGUAGAGCAGGUGACUGUUAAUCACUUGGUCGACGGUUCGAAUCCGCCCCGCGGAGCCA